UACGUAGGGUGCAAGCGUUGUCCGGAAUUACUGGGCGUAAAGCGUGCGCAGGCGGUUUGCUAAGACCGAUGUGAAAUCCCCGGGCUCAACCUGGGAACUGCAUUGGUGACUGGCAGGCUAGAGUAUGGCAGAGGGGGGUAGAAUUCCACGUGUAGCAGUGAAAUGCGUAGAGAUGUGGAGGAAUACCGAUGGCGAAGGCAGCCCCCUGGGCCAAUACUGACGCUCAUGCACGAAAGCGUGGGGAGCGAACGGG
rnacentral:rRNA from 1 species